rnacentral:rRNA from 1 species
UUGACCUCGAAUCAGGUAGGAAUACCCGCUGAACUUAAGCAUAUCAAUAAGCGGAGGAAAAGAAACCAACAGGGAUUGCCCCAGUAACGGCGAGUGAAGCGGCAACAGCUCAAAUUUGAAAUCUGGCCCCCGGGCCCGAGUUGUAAUUUGCAGAGGAUGCUUUUGGCGAGGCGCCUUCCGAGUUCCCUGGAACGGGACGCCAUAGAGGGUGAGAGCCCCGUCUGGUUGGAUGCCGAGCCUCUGUAAAGCUCCUUCGACGAGUCGAGUAGUUUGGGAAUGCUGCUCUAAAUGGGAGGUAUAUGUCUUCUAAAGCUAAAUAUUGGCCAGAGACCGAUAGCGCACAAGUAGAGUGAUCGAAAGAUGAAAAGCACUUUGAAAAGAGGGUUAAACAGUACGUGAAAUUGUUGAAAGGGAAGCGCUUGUGACCARACUUGGGCCCGGCGGAUCACCCAGCGUUCUCGCUGGUGCACUCCGGCGGGCCCAGGCCAGCAUCAGCUCGUCCCGGGGGACAAAGGCUCUGGGAAUGUGGCUCCUCCGGGAGUGUUAUAGCCCUCUGCGCAAUGCCCUGGGGCGGGCUGAGGACCGCGCAUCACGCAAGGAUGCUGGCGUAAUGGUCAUCAGCGACCCGUCUUGAAACACGGACCAA